AUGGAUUCCAUCAUGGCUAACGGGACAUGGGAGAUCACUGACCGUCCCUAUGGUUGCAAACCACUAGGAUGUAAGUGGGUGUUCAAAAAUAAGCUUAGGCCCGAUGGUUUCGUUGUUAAUGAGGCUGACAAAUGUGUAUACUAUCGCCAUGGUGGGGGCGAAGGAGUUAUACUGUGCUUGUAUGUUGAUGACAUACUGAUAUUCGGAACAAACCUCAAAGUCAUUGAGGAGGUCAAAUCGUUUCUAUCUCAGAACUUUGAGAUGAAAGACCUUGGUGUGGCUGAUGUUAUCUUGAACAUCAAGCUACUGAGAGAUAAUGAGGGUGGGAUCACACUUCUGCAAUCCCAUUACGUUGAGAAGGUGUUGAGUCGUUUUGGAUAUUCGGACUGUACUAUGAACUAUGGACUUCACUAUACCGGAUACCCGUCGGUACUUGAAGGGUAUAGUGAUGCGAAUUGGAUCUCUGAUGCUGAUGAGAUGAAGGCCACAACUGGGUUAUGUUUACUCUUGGAGGUGGCGCUGUUUCCUGGAAGUCUUGCAAGCAAACGAUCUUAA
rnacentral:rRNA from 1 species